GGACUACUGGGGUUUCUAAUCCUGUUCGCUCCCCAGACUUUCGCUCCUCAGUGUCAGUAUUGGCCCAGAGACCUGCCUUCGCCAUUGGUGUUCCUCCUGAUAUCUGCGCAUUCCACCGCUACACCAGGAAUUCCAGUCUCCCCUACCAAACUCUAGUUUGCCCGUAUCGAAUGCAGGCCUGAGGUUGAGCCUCAGGUUUUCACAUCCGACGUAACAAACGACCUACGAGCUCUUUACGCCCAAUAAUUCCGGACAACGCUUGCACCCUAUGUAUUACCGCGGCUGCUGGCACG
rnacentral:misc_RNA from 1 species